GACGAACGCUGGCGGCGUGCUUAACACAUGCCAGUCGAACGCUGAAGCUCAGCUUUUGUUGGGUGGAUGAGUGGCGAACGGGUGAGUAACACGUGAGUAACCUGCCCCCUUCUUUGGGGUAACGCCCGGAAACGGGUGCUAAUACUGGAUAUUCACUGGUCUUCGCAUGGGGGUUGGUGGAAAGGGUUUUUCUGGUGGGGGAUGGGCUCGCGGCCUAUCAGCUUGUUGGUGGGGUGAUGGCCUACCAAGGCUUUGACGGGUAGCCGGCCUGAGAGGGUGACCGGUCACAGUGGGACUGAGAUACGGCCCAGACUCCUACGGGAGGCAGCAGUGGGGAAUAUUGCACAAUGGGCGCAAGCCUGAUGCAGCGACGCCGCGUGAGGGAUGGAGGCCUUCGGGUUGUGAACCUCUUUCGCUCAUGGUCAAGCCGCAACAAUGGUUGUGGUGAGGGUAGUGGGUAAAGAAGCGCCGGCUAACUACGUG
rnacentral:rRNA from 1 species